rnacentral:misc_RNA from 1 species
GCUAACUGAGGAGUAGCUUUAAUGAUUCGAGUUCUCUGGUAAUCAAGAUAGCUUUAGUUCAAAUGAAUGGCUGGGGUCGAUAUACAGAGAAGACUACUAGCUAAUAUACCUCAAGUCACGGAGACCUGAAAGUAAUCCUGGGAUAUAAUUAUCAGGGAUCAUCUCUAGACUCUCUGGUUCUUCUUGUGGGAAUGGAUACUCAUCCAUGCCAAAUGGAAAUGAAUAAUCUGUAAGAACUGGUGAGCUGAGGGAAUAUAAGUUAUGGAUAUCCUCCUCCUGAUCAAGUGAUGGCAUCUGAUGGUCAGGAAUCAGGUGGUGGGAACUUUCUCCAUGGUCCAGUCCCGUCUUCCUAUGCUUGGAUUUUGCAGAUUUAGAAGAGUCGGCGACUCCCAGCUUAUGCUUUCCGAGCGACUGUGAUUUUGAAACAGAGCGAGACUUGAGAUCAUUUAUUGGGAACACAGAUGAAGCCCAUCCGUGGAAAUCUUCCUUACAAGCUCUAGCAGCAUCCCUGAAACGCAUCUCUGCAACUUUUGUUCGCUUUCGAGCACCAGAAGAUUCACAUGUAUCCAGGUUGACCAAGGGCAAGUAAACUGAAUCAGAUACUAUUAAGUCAACUGAAGAUGGAAAUGACACGUUAAGAUCAUCCUCUCCCUGGAACUCAAGUGUCAACUCCAACUGCUCUGUAGUGACUGACGCACGUUCCCCAUGAUAGGAUUGGGACCUUUUAUCAUCCGUCCUCGUGGAACCAGCAUCGUUGAGUGCAGCCGCUAGUAGCUUGAAGCUGUGUCCUGUGCUGCCAAAUUUCAACUUACCUGUUGCUUCCCUCCCAAAAUACCGAGUAA